rnacentral:rRNA from 1 species
UACGUAGGGCGCAAGCGUUGUCCGGAAUUAUUGGGCGUAAAGAGCUCGUAGGCGGUUUGUCGCGUCUGCUGUGAAAACCUAAGGCUCAACCUUGGGCUUGCAGUGGGUACGGGCAGACUAGAGUGCGGUAGGGGUGACUGGAAUUCCUGGUGUAGCGGUGGAAUGCGCAGAUAUCAGGAGGAACACCGGUGGCGAAGGCGGGUCUCUGGGCAGUAACUGACGCUGGAGGAGCGAAAGCGUGGGGAGCGAACAGGA